UUCCGAAGGAAAAAACUGGUUAUUAGAUUGGCGAAUGCGGGCGGGCUGGCUGGCGGGCUGGCUGGCUGGCUGGCGGGCUGGCGGAAUAAGCUUGUCCGGGCCAUAACUAUGUCAUUCAUUGUCAGAUUUUAAAAUCAUUUGGCACAUUUGUUCACCAUCAUUGGACGGUGUGUCGCGCGAAAUAAUAACGUCGAUAUCUCCAAGGUCAAGGUCACACUUUGAGUUCAAAGGUCAAAAAUGGCCAUAAAUGAGCUUGUCCUGGCCAUAACUAUGUCAUUCAUUGUGAGAUUUUAAAAUCAUUUGGCACAUUUGUUCACCAUCAUGGGACGGUGUGUCCCACGAAAGAAUCACGUCAAUAUCUCCAAUGUCAAGGUCGCCACGACUAAAAAUAGAUUUAAAAAAAAAAAAAACUUACAAAGGGGGUUAAUUUUUUUUGGUCAUUUCAAAAGUUCAGUUU